rnacentral:rRNA from 1 species
CUCUAUACCCGAAAUCACAGGAGCUGAGAUAAAGUUGUUAAGAACCCACCACCUAAUGUUUCAAUAUUAGAGGAAAACUUUAACUCAGGGGCUACAUACCUCCCGCAUGUGAUGAUAGCUGGUUUCCUCAAACCCAGCAUAAGCUGAAAAAACUGAAAAAUCAUAAAAACCCAAACUCAGUUAUACAAAUUCAUUGAGAACAAGCUCAAUUUAAAAAACUCAUUUAGAACAAAAAACAAAAUAAAGGUAGGCCCAGAAACAGCCACCCCCCAUUCCGUUACAGCACGAAAAAAAUAAAAAUAAAAAAAAAUAAAAAAAAAAGGAAAAGAAAUUCACCAUUAAACUCGUAACCUAUGCAAGGAUCAGUAUUUUAUUAAUCAUGGAAAAGGAACUCGGCAAACAAAGACUUCGACUGUUUAACAAAAACAUAGCCUACUGCCACCAUAUAGUAGGUAACCCCUGCCCAGUGAGAUAUUUAACGGCCGCGGUACCCUGACCGUGCAAAGGUAGCAUAAUCACUUGCCUUCUAAUUAGAGGCUAGUAUGAACGGACAAACGAAAGUCUUUCUGUCUCUCCCAUGCCCAUAAAAAUUUACCUUCAGGUGAAGAGGCCUGAAUUUAUAUAAAAGACAAGAAGACCCUGUCGAGCUUUAAUCUUAAUAAGUCAGCAACUUUAUAAAUGUUUAAUCUUGCUAAUGAUUUUUGCUGGGGCGGCAAAGGAACAAAACUAACUUCCUGCAAAUACAAGAAAAUAAUUCUUCCCAAUGACCCAUAUAAUGAUCAACAAACCUAGCUACCGCAGGGAUAACAGACUAAUUUUCCUCAAGAGCCCAAAUCUACAGGAAAGUUUGGCACCUCGAUGUUGGCUUAGGGAAUCUUUUAGAUGCAGCAGUCUAACAAGAGGG